GGAAACUCCGUGUCAAAGUGCCCAAUCUUGGGCUGUCUAUCGAAAGGGAAUCGGGUUAACAUUCCCGAACCAGGACGUGGAUGCUAAGCGGUAACGCAAGCAAAGCUGGGGACGGCUGCGGGGGCCCCGACAAGAGUUUUCUUUUCUUGUUAACGAGUGCAUCGACCCUGGAAUCGGAUUGACCGGAGAUAGGGUUGACGGCUCGGGAAAGGCGGUUACUUUUGGACCGUUUCGGUGCGCUCUCGACGUCCCUUGAAAACCUGGUGGCGUGUCUUAUUCGCACUCCUGGUCGUACUCAUCACCGCAUCAGGUCUCCAAGGUUAGCAGCCUCUGGUCGAUAAAAUAAUGUAGAUAAGGGAAUUCGGCAAACUAGAUCCGUAACUUCGGGAUAAGGAUUGGCUCUGAGGAUUGGGUGGAUGGAACCUAUCGGGUGAUUCGUAGGUAGAAGGGAUAGUGGUUCGCGCCGCAGUCCCGGAAAUCUACGGACCGAAGAUGUGGGAACGACCACAAUUAACAAUCAAUUCAGAACUGAAGCGGACAAGGGGAAUCUAACUGUUUAAUAAAAACAUAGCAUUGUGAUGGCGUGCAAACGUGUUGACACAAUGUGAUUUCUGCCCAGUGCUCUGAAUGUCAAAGUGAAGAAAUUCAACCAAGCGCGGG
rnacentral:rRNA from 1 species